UUGGAUUAAUACCCCGUAAUAUUUUUGGGUGGCAUCACCUGAUAAUUAUAGCUCCGGCGCUUAAAGAUGGGCGUGCGACUGAUUAGGUAGUUGGCGGGGUAACGGCCCACCAAGCCUACGAUCAGUAACUGGUGUGAGAGCACGACCAGUCACACGGGCACUGAGACACGGGCCCGACUCCUACGGGAGGCAGCAGUAAGGAAUAUUGGUCAAUGGACGCAAGUCUGAACCAGCCAUGCCGCGUGGAGGAUGAAUGCCCUCUGGGUUGUAAACUCCUUUUAUCUGGGAAGAAACCUAUACAUUCUUGUGUAGUUGACGGUACCAGAGGAAUAAGCACCGGCUAACUCCGUGCCAGCAGCCGCGGUAAUACGGAGGGUGCAAGCGUUAUCCGGAUUCACUGGGUUUAAAGGGUGCGUAGGUGGAUUGGUAAGUCAGUGGUGAAAUCCCCGAGCUUAACUUGGGAACUGCCGUUGAUACUAUCAAUCUUGAAUAUCGUGGAGGUAAGCGGAAUAUGUCAUGUAGCGGUGAAAUGCUUAGAUAUGACAUAGAACACCAAUUGCGAAGGCAGCUCACUACACAAUCAUUGACUCUGAGGCACG
rnacentral:rRNA from 1 species